UACGUAGGGUGCAAGCGUUGUCCGGAAUUAUUGGGCGUAAAGAGCUCGUAGGCGGUCUGUCACGUCGGCUGUGAAAUCCCGAGGCUCAACCUCGGGUCUGCAGUCGAUACGGGCAAACUAGAGUAUUGCAGGGGAGACUGGAAUUCCUGGUGUAGCGGUGAAAUGCGCAGAUAUCAGGAGGAACACCGGUGGCGAAGGCGGGUCUCUGGGCAAUAACUGGCGCUGAGGAGCGAAAGCGUGGGGAGCGAACAGG
rnacentral:rRNA from 1 species